UUCCCAUAGAGUUUGCUUUCUUUAAUCUGUCUUAAGAAUUCUAUCAUCUAGUGCAUGGCGAAUCCAAGGAGAGGUAGGAGUCGGGAGGAUAUCAAGAAAAGGAUCAGCAAUUGCAUCAAUAGUUUGAUAGGCAAACUAUUCGCUGAUAAGACCUUUUCUAUGGGGACAAUGGAGGGGUCUGGAGUAGUCGAGAUUGGAUCUAGUUUUGGGGGACCCCUGAAUUUUCAAGACAACUGGGGAAUGAAAUCGGUAGAAUAGUGGAUGUGGGUUUCUUUGAUGUUAAGGGUAAAGAAACCAGAAUUAUUAAGGCAAUGGUGGAGAUGGUAGUUAUGAGGUAUGAACGAUUGGGGACAGUUUGUAGCUAUUGUGCUAAGAUAGGCCAUGAUCACAAAAAUUGUAUCGGAGUGAUGGAAGACAUGAAGGAAGAUCAGCUGCAAGAAGAUAAAAUAGGUGACCAAAUCGGAAUAAGGGUGGAACUAAAGGAGAAUGACAAGGCAAAAGGAGGGAGAGGGUUCCAAAAUUCUCAUUGAAGGAAUUGCAGGUCUGAACUUCACUGAUACAGCCGGAAGAAGCGAUGGUCGGUCGAAAGGAGAACGUAUGAAAAAACAGAAAGUGUAAAACAGAACCUGCUACAAAUUCAAAAUAGUUUUUCGGCUGGAACACACAUGGAGGAAGCUUUGAUUGAAAUUAACGCUAAUAAGAUGCCUAUCAGUGAAUAUAAUGGUCAAUUUAAAAGAGUGAAACAAAUGGCGAGAAUGGGACACGAAGGAAUGGAGCAGCUGAGUGGACUGAAGAGGAUAUAGAGAUGGAAGUAAUACAUAGGAGUAUGGAUGUUGUUCAUCCAGAAAAUCUAAAGAAGGUGGAGGGUGUCACCCACAGCACCAUGAGAGCUCUUAUGUGGAAUUGUUGGGGUUUGGGGAGACCCAUGUUAGUCCAUAACCUCAAAGGGAUGUGUAAAUCCCACUCUCCCGAGUUGGUUUUUCUCUGUGAAACUAAAAGCCAAUCUCGAAAUAUUGAGUAAAUUCAGAUCAUGUGGUUUUUCCAGUUUCACAAUUUUGGACCCAACUGGCUUAUCAGGAGGUAUAACUCUUGCGUGGAGAGACUAUGUGGAGGUGACAAUCCUUGGCCAAAACUCCUUUUCAAUUUUGGCUCUAGUGAAGAAUGGGGGCUUGUAGGCGUGUACCUAGGCACCAACGAGAAGGUUCGAUUGAGGUAGUUUGAGGAACUUUCGGCUCAGAUUCAGCAAUUUAAUGAGAAAUGGUGUAAAGCUUGUGUCCUUCUUGACAGAUUGGAUCGAGGUUUGUCUAAGCUUGGAAUUGGACGAAGUCAUGGUGUCAUUGGUGCAUCCAGGAACAGAAAUAAAAGGAAUGGUGGAAACUGGAAAGACCAUUGGGAGUAAACAAUGUGGAACUCUAGAAUUUGGGGGGUUUUCUGUGUUUUUCAGUAAACCUCUAAUCUUGUUAAUAAUAAAAAAACAUGGGAGAGAGCAUAGUUUCUAAUGUCCCGAAAAAACAAUUUCUAUUACCAUUCAGAAAAUGAUGCUGAUAAAUUAGUCUUACGGUACAAAACUUGUAAUAU